AUUGAACGCUGGCGGCAGGCCUAACACAUGCAAGUCGAGCGGAGCGGAGGACGGGUGAGUAAUGCCUAGGAAUCUGCCUGGUAGUGGGGGAGAACGUCCGGAACUGGGCGCUAAUACCGCAUACUAUCAGAUGAGCCUAGGCCGUAUUAGAUAGUUGGUGGGGUAAAGGCCUACCCAGGCGACGAUCCGUAACUGGUCUGAGAGGAUGAUCAGUCACACUGGAACUGAGACACGGUCCAGACUCCUACGGGAGGCAGCAGUGGGGAAUAUUGGACAAUGGGCGAAAGCCUGAUCCAGCCAGGCCGCGUGUGUGAAGAAGGUCUUCGGGUUGUAAAGCACUUUAAGUUGGGAGGCGUUACCAACAGAAUAAGCACCGGCUAACUUCGUGCCAGCAGCCGCGGUAAUUC
rnacentral:rRNA from 1 species